rnacentral:rRNA from 1 species
GUAAACCAUAGCGAGCAAACCGUGACGGCGUCGCAAGGCGUCGUCGCGGUUAAUAAGGAUAACCCUGGUAAUUCUGAGGCUAAUACAAGAACGUACAACCCACCCGACCCGCAAGGGAAGGGGGGGGAAUGUGUGACCAGGCACGCAAAUUCGAAACUGGGAGUGGCCACACGUUCAGACCGCCAUACCAAACAGUUGUUCGCUUCGAAAGUCCUCGUGACGAGUAACGGCGGGUUUCUGGGCGGCUCUCGCUGUGUGCUUCUGACCUAUCAACUAGAUGGCAGCGUAACGGACAUGCUAUGGU